ensembl:lncRNA
CUUCCCUCAUUGGGAACAUACCAGGGAGACUUAAGCAUCAGUAGUGCACUCGGUGAAGUCCCAUAGUAGAGAAGUGAUGUGAGACGAGUUGUACAGGGGAGCAUACAGAAAUGCUGAGGAACUGCUCAGAAACAUGGACAUCGCUGAGGUUGGGGAAGACAUGAUGGAUGACUCCAGCAGUGCACCUAGGCUGUAUUUCCCAUGGGUAACGAGUGAGCUCAGUCCAGCAGCCCAUUGGAUUUCUUCCAUUGACUUUGGUCCCUUGCUUGUGCUCUAUUUCUUCUGAAAAUAAGACCUCUCUUUUAUUUCUCUGUUUGUGCUUUUACUGAACACAGAAGCAGGGAAAAAAGAAUGACUGGCAGGUGUCCUAAGUGUAUAGUGAGUUGCGUGCUCGUAGCUCAGUCUGACGGUGAAGGUCGGUAAAUGGAGUCUUAUGACUCACUGCCACUACAUGGCGGGCAAUGCAUGGCACUGACAACUCCACUCUGGUUGGGAAAUGGUAGAAUCAGGCUGCAGAAAGGGACUCUUCUGCCUGUGCUGUAUGGGGGUUUGCAGUCAGCAGAGGAUCCUGAGUAGGAGAGUGGCUGAGCAACAGAGCUGGUCAUCAAGGCUUUUUAUUCUCGUGAGCUCUGGGAAGGGCAGAGUGUACAAGGGCGUGCUCAGGGCAAGUGAAGCAUUUUAAAAGCUUUUGGAUUGGAUGUUUUUCUUUUUUUCAGUGAUCCGAAAGUAAAAGGAAGAAUGAAUUGGAUUUCUCUGAUGAAUGUUCUUAAAGGCUCACAAUAACAGGCAAGCUGUCUGGAGAUCACCUGCACUUGUGAGCAGCAAUAGUGAGAGGGAUGAAGCCAUUUCUGCUACUAUUAGAGUUAAUGGGGGACAUGACUGGGCAGGAACCAUCCCAGGAGCGGACCUAAAAGGUAAAGUAUUCCCUGUGUCAAUGUUCUCUGUCUCUAGGAUAGAGAACAUUAUUAUGCUUCUGGCCGACACUUGUUUAUGUAAAAUAAGUCUCAAAGGAGAGAGAGCAGCUCAGUGUUUGCUUCCCAAUAUUGCAGCCUUACCUGCAGUAAAUUGCUGCAAGACACAGGGCCCCUGGCAGUGAGGGUGUCCUCAGCAAUGGAG